CCGCAAACCGACACUGGUGCGCGAGAUGAGUAUUCUAAGGCGCUUGAGAGAACUCGGGAGAAGGAACUCGGCAAAUUGACACCGUAACUUCGGAAGAAGGUGUGCCUUUAGUAGGUGAACCUGUACAAGGGGAGCCCAAUGAGGUUGCAAAAAAUCGGUGGCUGCGACUGUUUAAUAAAAACACAGCACUCUGCAAACACGAAAGUGGACGUAUAGGGUGUGACGCCUGCCCGGUGCUGGAAGAUUAAAUGAUGGGGUGCAAGCUCUUGAUUGAAGUCCCAGUAAACGGCGGCCGUAACAAUAACGGUCCUAAGGUAGCGAAAUUCCUUGUCGGGUAAGUUCCGACCUGCACGAAUGGCGUAACGAUGGCCACACUGUCUCCUCCCGAGACUCAGCGAAGUUGAAAUGUUUGUGAUGAUGCAAUCUCCCCGCGGAAAGACGGAAAGACCCCAUGAACCUUUACUGUAGCUUUGUAUUGGACUUUGAACAGAUCUGUGUAGGAUAGGUGGGAGGCUUUGAAGCAGGGUCGCUAGAUCUUGUGGAGCCAACGUUGAAAUACCACCCUGGUGUGUUUGAGGUUCUAACCUAGGCCCGUAAUCCGGGUCGGGGACAGUGCAUGGUAGGCAGUUUGACUGGGGCGGUCUCCUCCCAAAGCGUAACGGAGGAGUUCGAAGGUACGCUAGUUACGGUCGGACAUCGUGACGAUAGUGCAAUGGCAUAAGCGUGCUUAACUGCGAGACUGACAAGUCGAGCAGAUGCGAAAGCAGGACAUAGUGAUCCGGUGGUUCUGUAUGGAAGGGCCAUCGCUCAACGGAUAAAAGGUACUCUGGGGAUAACAGGCUGAUACCGCCCAAGAGUUCAUAUCGACGGCGGUGUUUGGCACCUCGAUGUCGGCUCAUCUCAUCCUGGGGCUGUAGCCGGUCCCAAGGGUUUGGCUGUUCGCCAUUUAAAGAGGUACGUGAGCUGGGUUUAAAACGUCGUGAGACAGUUUGGUCCCUAUCUUCCGUGGGCGCUGCAGAUUUGAAGAAGCCUGCUCCUAGUACGAGAGGACCGGAGUGGACGCACCUCUGGUGUAUCGGUUGUCACGCCAGUGGCAUUGCCGAGUAGCUAUGUGCGGAAGAGAUAACCGCUGAAAGCAUCUAAGCGGGAAACUCGUUCUAAGAUGAGAUCUGCCGGGGCCUUGAGCCCCCUGAAGGGUCGUUCAAGACCAGGACGUUGAUAGGUCAGGUGUGGAAGCGCAGUAAUGCGUUAAGCUAACUGAUACUAAUUGCUCGUGCCGCUUGACCCC
rnacentral:rRNA from 1 species